CGCCCUUGAGUUUGAUCAUGGCUCAGAGUGAACGCUGGCGGCGUGCUUAACACAUGCAAGUCGAACGGGACUUAUCUGAGAUUACAUCAAGGGUAAGUUCAGUGGCAGACGGGUGAGUAUCACAUAGGUGAUCUACCCUUGAGAGGAAAAUAACCCCGAGAAAUCGGGGCUAAUGUUCCAUAAGACCACGGCCUUUCCUACGAAAGGUUGGGGCCAAAGCUCCGCAAGGGGCGCUUGAGGAUGAGCCUGUGUCCUAUCAGCUAGUUGGUGAGGUAAUGGCUCACCAAGGCUAAGACGGGUAUCCGACCUGAAAGGGUGACCGGACACACUGGAACUGAGACACGGUCCAGACUCCUACGGGAGGCAGCAGUGGGGAAUUUUGGACAAUGGGGGCAACCCUGUUUUCAGCAACGCCGCGUGAGGGAUGAAGGUUCUCGGAUUGUAAACCUCUUUUGCAGGGGACGAAUCACGUCGUGAAUAACGACGAAUGACGGUACUCUGCGAAUAAGCCACGGCUAACUACGUGCCAGCAGCCGCGGUAC
rnacentral:rRNA from 1 species